CAGCAAGAUAGCUGCCUAGUAAAAAUGAAUUAAUGUCCCAGCCUCUAGUGUACAGGGUGUUUUGUGGCAAAGGAGAAUGUAAUCUGGAAUAGCUAAAGCAAAUAACUAGUUAAUGCAACAGCAGUUCUUUUUAAUCACUUGAGAAAGACACCAUUUCCCUGAGAAGAAUGUCCGAAGAUCAGCCCAGCUUAGAGUGCAGUUUGUACUACUAGUGCCUUGGACUACAAGAAGAGUCUCUGGCUGUUUACAAUUCUGACAUUCCUGAGCAUGUUAAACCUGAGGACUGCAAACAGCUAUGAAAGGCUCCAAAUUUACCCUAUCUUUCCGUUAGAGAAUCUGAAUAAGCUCCAGCUAAUUUUGGUGGAUGGCUUGUACCUGGAGAAAAAGAUCUUCCUCAGAGGAAUAAAUAGGCUUGUUGCUUUACAGUGUUAGUGACCCAUUCCCUUUGACGAUCCCUAGGUGGAGAUGGGGCAUGAGGAUCCUCCAGGGGAAAAGCUCACUACCACUGGGCAACAACCCUAGGCAGGAGGUUCACCAAAAAUACUUUCCUGGGCCCUGAUAGGAAGGUGAAGUCUCAAAGACAACUAUCACAGGUGAAGGAGAAUGUGGACAACUGACAUGUAAGUAACAUUGAUAUCAUGGAGAAAUCAUUCUGUUCCAUCUCAUCCUCAAAGGCUCCCUUUAGGCUCUAUAGGAGAACUUUGUCAAUCAUUUACAUACAAGAUGCCUUGGGAUGUCCAUAGGAUAUAACAUAACAUUCAGCUCUUUGAUAAGAUAAAUAAGAGUUUUAUCCUCUUAUGCUGUGCUUGCUGAUUGAUGGAUGCCUCAUAACCACAAAUGGAAACCUGACAAAAAAUGGAACAAAAUUAUCAGUCAUCAGGCAGGAUCUAAAAAACCAGGGUGGUUCUC